GAUGAAGAACGUAGCGAAUCGCGAUAUGUAGUGUGAUCUGCCUCUAGUGAAUCAUCAAAUCUUUGAACGCAUCUUGCACCCUUUGGUAUUCCAAAGGGUACGCCUGUUUCAGUAUCAUUAUAACCUUUCUCCCCAAGGCUUUUUGGCCAAGGAGGGAAAGAGCAUAACCGGUGGCCCAGCGGUCUCCCUUCAGGGGGAUUGUCUCGGCUGGAAUGACUGUUGCAAUGGUGGGCCAAAUGGUCUUCCGCACGUGAUAAAUGUACUUUUAUAAAGAGCGGGACCGGUCUGCCGAAAGUUGUAACUAAACCCUUUACCUUUGAUCUGAAAUCAGGCGGGAUUACCCGCUGAACUUAAGCAUAUCAAUAAGCGGAGGA
rnacentral:misc_RNA from 1 species